GGUUCUUUAGUAUAUCAACAUAUGUUUAGAUCUUAGGACUAACAUGUAAAACAAUUGUUUUUUGUUUUUUGUUUUUCUUUUCUUUUUUUUUUUCUUGUGAGAAAGCCCUGAUUGUUUAGGGGAAAUAACUACACGUCCUAGAGCAAGUAGGAACUCUCUUAACAGAUAAUUAAAAAAUGGUAUUUCCUAUAAAAUAUUUAAUUUCUUCAUUCUAUUGAACUAAACUAAAUUUUUCAUAAGUACAUUGGUGGCUUUGAAUUACUGAGAAGGGGUAAAAUGACUGUUAACGUGAAGAGUAGGUUUCGUUUAAAAGGAGGCUGGGAUUGCAAGGCUCUCACUGAGAGUGAAUAACUAAGACAUGCAAUGCUGGAUGCUAUGUAUGGAGAAUAGCUACUCACCAGCUUGAUUAUACCUACAACUGAAGGGAAGAUGGUAGGAUACCUAGACUAGUCUCUUAUGGCCAUGGGCUAGUUUAUUUUCUCUGUGACGAGACACUCUAUAGAAACAUUUUAAAGGCGAAUUUUAUUUUGAUUCACAGUUUCAGAGGAGUUUCUUUCCAUCAAAUCAAAGAACAGGUUUGUAGUGUGAAGGGCUCUGUCUCUAUGGUGCAAAUUUUUGCCAAUGACUUUUCAAGUAUCAGGAAUGAAGAACCAGAGAGCUCUAGAGUAGAACUGGGGGUGGAUUCACCUUCUAAAACCCCAAGUAUUGCCAUUAACCUACUUCAGAAGCAUAUUUUAAGAUCGCACCUUUUUUUUUAAACAAACAAUACCACAAGCUGAAGUCAUUUCAUAUUUAUACCAUAAAUCUAACAAUCCACCUUUAUCAGACUCACUAACUCUAUUGGUAAACUGUGUUCUUGGACCUAAAGACUCGAUGACACUGAUCAUUUUAAAUCAAGCUAGAGCCCAUCAAGGAAAACCUUAACCUGGAUAUUGUUAUGUAAAGCUGAUAGAAGCUAUAAGCUUAUGACUGUUAUUCUGAGGUAUAAAUGUAAGGUGUAAUUAUGAUGUCCUGUUAGUAUGUUAAUCACCAUCAACACUUAUAAGCACUUGCUGAAUGAACUUUUCUAUCACAUUGCCUCAAGGAUAAUUCAGAGGUGUCAUUACAUACCUUCUCUGGAAAUUAAGCUUUGCCCCAGAAUAAGAGAUCAAAACCAUGCCUCUAGGAUGGAGGUACAUGAAUCUGCUAAGAAAAGCAUUAUUAUUAUUAUUGUCUAUUAAGCAGCUCAUCUUGUAUUUAAAAAGGUAUUUUAUUGAAUAUCCAAAUAAAAUAAUUUUAUAAAUCAGCGAUUAAUUGCUUAGUUAGAAAAAGUUAUUAAUAUUGUCCAUUUGUCUUGACAUUUCUGGACUCUUCUAUGGACCUUUGUCAAGAACUUCAUCCAGCUUAAAUCGAGGAAUUGGAUCACUGUCAUUAAUUAGAUGAAAUUGUCAGUAAAUUCUAGAAUCACAACCGUGUCAGUUAAUGAACUACACGACUUAUUGUACCACUGUCAACAGUUCAUGAUGUAAUUAAAAGUAUAACUGUUUUAGUGACAGGAUGGUUUGAAUUCAGAGUAUUGGCAUUACUUACUGCAGACACUCCAGAGAGAAAAUAUUCGCAAUCUCUCUUUUACAUAGAUGAAAUAAGUAUCCCAAUCUUUAGUUGAAGCAUUUUAAAUCCUAGGAACUGUUACCAUAUUAAUGCAGUAAUCCUUCGUGUAGAAGCAAUAACCUCUACCCUGCCUAGUAGGAUCCCUGGCUUUUACCCAAUCCUUCCCCUCCACUCUGCAGAUGCAACAGUGAAAAAUGUCCCUUGAAUGCCAAAUGUUUCAUGAGGGGCAAAAGGACCUCUGCUAAGAGUUGCUAGGUAAUAUUGGUAUUAAAUUUACCUCAGCAAUAUAAGCAGCUAAAGCAGUAUUAGCUGAAGAAUUUUUUUGGAGGCCAUCCAUUUCUUAACUAACAUCAACAAUGUCAGCAAUAGCAACAUUAUGAUACUGCAGGUAAAGAUAGAAAAGAAUAUUGUCUGGAUAUGAGCCAGCUAGCAGAUACUAUCAGGAUCCCUUUUCUAGUAUUUUUAUUAAUUAUGCUAAUUCCUCUAUGAAGAAAGAGAAGAUAACCAUUCUCAUUCUUCCAGAAUGGGAACUGUUGCUCUGAGAAAUUAAGCUGAACAUGUGAUAGAUUAUAUGGUUGAUAAUAAUUCAACUAUUAAGUUUCUUUCAUAGACUCUUAUUCCAUUUGUUCUGCUAUACCCUUGAACCUUCAUCUGUAUAUUCUAAUGUUAGAGCUAAUGAUGUGAUGGCUUAAUGUAUUGCAACUCAUACUUUGGCUUGACUUUAAUGUUUUGUCACUUGUAUAAAUUAGUGAUAUUAGUGUUUCUUUAAAUAAGAAAGUAUUCUUUUAAAGUGGCUAUAAUAAAAAUUAUGGAUUAUUGUUUUAAAUCAGCUAUCUAAGAGUGAGUGAGAUGGAAUGGAGAGAAAUCAUUCAAUACAAAAAGUGCUUGCUUUGCACACAGGGAGAUCUAAGUUUAGAUUCCAAGGUCCAGCCUAACAAAAUGGAGUAUAGCAGCACACUUAUAAAACUAGUGAUAGGGCAUCUCCAAAUCUCACAAGACAGCCAGUCUAGCUGAACCAGUGAACUUUAAGUUCAGGCAUAAAUCCUGUCUUAAAAGUUAACAUGGAGAAUAAUUGUAGAAAACAUCAGAAUUCCAUCUCUGGUCUCCACAUCCCAAGGUACACAUGUGCGCACAAGAUUCACAAAAAUUUAAUAAGGGCUGAGCAGUGGGGGUGCACUCCUUUAAUCACAGCACUUGGGAGGCAGAGGCAGGCAGAUUUCUGAGUUUGAGACAAUCCUGGUCUACAGAGUGAGUUCCAUGACAGCCAGAGCUACACAGAGAAACCCUGUCUCUGAACACACAUCCCCCCCCAAAAUUAACAAGUAGAAUAAUAAAAUAAAGUUUUUUUAUAUUGCAUUAACCAUACAGCAUUUUUACCUGUUGAUAUUAUUUUUCAAUUAUCUUACAUACGUGUGGAGGAUUGAAUAAGUGCUCACCAUUGGGUCACAUGUUUGAACAGUUGGUCCUCAGUUGGUGGCACUGUUUGGGGGAGGUUGUGGUGAGGUGAAGUCUUAUUAGAGAAGGAUGCCAUCAGAGACAGGAUUUAAGAAUGUAUAGUCUCACCCCACUUUCGGUUUGCACUCUGCUUCGUGCUAACGACUGAUAAUAUGAUCCUGCAGCUUCCUGCUCCAACAGUCACAUGUACUGCUUGCUGCCAUACCUCCCCAUCCUGAUGGACUCCUUUAUCCGGAACCAUAAAUCAAAGUAAAUGCUUUCUUCUACAGGCCACGUUUGGUCAUGGUGUCUUAUAACAGCAGCACAAAAGUAUCUAGUCUAACACCCUGGCUUAAAAUCGCAGUUUGGAGUUAAGAAUUGAGACAUGACCAGUCCUGUUGUUUGCACAGAAAAAUCCACUCAGGCUACGCUAAUCUUCUAUUUUUUGUUUUUUUAAUUUACUGCACGUCCCAUGUAAUACUGAAUACUUUGUAUGUGAUCUUAGUUAACCUAGGAGAUACAGAGAAUGUGUUUUCACAGCUUUGAACAUGGGACUUGAAGAAUGUAUGGGUUCUUCAGAGAGAAAGAACAAAUGAUUGAAGCUGGAAUUUCACCGAAGGCAUGCCGUCACACCUUGACCACUGGCAUGCUAUCAUAUAUUCAGCAAGACUGCUUUUAUUUUUCCUUUCUUUUCCAUUUCACUUCCUGUGCAGGAGCAUCUAAGACUAAUCUCCUACUCAUUUCCCAGCCUCCUCUGUGCUUGUGUUUCACUCCUAAGUACAUAAAGCAAAAAUGUAAAAUCCUCUGUGGCAAGUUCUAGUUGAGAGGACAUAUGAAUCGGAAGUGCUACAGUUCCUUGGAAGGAAUGUGUUGUAGAUGUUUCAAGUUAGAGUCUGGCUCCUGGAACACUGUCUGACUUUCAGUUCCUGGGAAACCGAAGCACUCCCUUAGUCAGUGUCACAGGCCACUUGUGUAGUUUUUUGUUCCCUACAAGUCAUUGAAGCAUAUAGAAGUUUGACAGAUCACUUAGUCUUCGACCUUAAUCUCAUUAUACCCUGUAUAGCUUGCAAAAGUCAUUGUGUCCUGGCAAGCUUCAUUAUAUUCUGUUCUUGAUAAAGGUAUAAGAAGUCUGAUUGCUUGCCAUAAUCCUGGCACAGCCUUCACCUUGCUGUGACCACUCUGGACUGGGUCUGGUAGAUGACAUUCCCUCCACCCAUAAUCAGGUAACCCUGGAUCCAUUGGUAAGCGCUGGUACUUACAAUGCUGUCCUUGGUUUUACCCUUCUUUCUUCUCAUGGUGUCACCUCCUCUAGUGAUGUCUUUCUUCAUUGUCAUUCC
rnacentral:lncRNA from 1 species